GGAACAUACUUUGUUGUGCUUGGCCGUUGGCGAAACAGAUCAUAUCACAGUAGAUAUAUACAAAAUCACUUAAAAAAAAAUUAAUUAUAUCCAAAGGCAGGGAUCAAAUCUUACAAGUACAAGCAGAAAAGAACAAAUCAAGAGAGACUCAAUUGGAAAAAGCGCGAAAAAUUUAAGACAACGGCAUGAGAGAUACACAAAUAAAGAUCCAAAGGCCAAAGAGAGAGAGAAAAAUCUGUGCCAUAUUUUUGCCAAAUGACUUUCCUCUAUUUCUCUACGGACUAACUUGUUGAGCUAGGGCUCUUUAAAUGGAUGUUUUCUAGCUUUCUUUGUGGACCAAAAAAAAAAAAAAAAAAUCUUCCCUAGAUCUAGAGUUUCCAUGGUGCGGUUACAUAACAAAGUAUAAAGCAUUUCCCCCCUCAAACUUCAUUUAAAAAAUAGAAUUUUUCAUCUAACUUUGUAUUAUGAAUGUGCUUCUUCUCCUUCAAUUUCGGGAUGUUAGUCCAAUUAGUUUGCAAUUCUAGAACACAAUGCCAAAUUUGCUCAUUGAAUUAUCAACCUCUCUUUCUUUGAAAUUUUAUAAAAUGCUACUUUAUUUUCUUUUUC
rnacentral:lncRNA from 1 species